AAUAUUUUGCGGUAUAAAACAUUGUUGGCUGCUGGAAAGUGCAUAGUUCAGUAAUAAACAACUGAGAAACAACAACCAAGAUGCCUUCCCCCUGUGAACCCUGCAAAGAUUCCUGCAAGGACGGCGCCUGCACCACCAACUGCGCUUGCAAGGACAAAGGCUGCAACGACUGCUCAUCUAAAGGCGGCUGUUGCUAACAAUGGACCGAGCUAGGAGCAGGCGCCCUUCCCGUUUCACCCGGAUCAGUAAUGUGCUAGAGACCUGCUUCCCUGUUGCCUUUACUGUCGUCUUCCUCAUCACCAUUAUAUUGUUCUAUUGCUUUAUCUAAAUUAUAUGGUUUAUUGAAGUAAA